rnacentral:sRNA from 1 species
GACAGGUAUGGUGGUGCAUGCCUAUAAUCCCAGCUACUUGGGAGGCUGAGGCAGGAGGAUUGCAAGUUCAAGAAUAACUUGGUGAGAUCCUGCUUCAA